rnacentral:rRNA from 1 species
AACCUGCGGAAGGAUCAUUACCGAGUGCGGGUCCUUUGGGCCCAACCUCCCAUCCGUGUCUAUUGUACCCUGUUGCUUCGGCGGGCCCGCCGCUUGUCGGCCGCCGGGGGGGCGCCUCUGCCCCCCGGGCCCGUGCCCGCCGGAGACCCCAACACGAACACUGUCUGAAAGCGUGCAGUCUGAGUUGAUUGAAUGCAAUCAGUUAAAACUUUCAACAAUGGAUCUCUUGGUUCCGGCAUCGAUGAAGAACGCAGCGAAAUGCGAUAACUAAUGUGAAUUGCAGAAUUCAGUGAAUCAUCGAGUCUUUGAACGCACAUUGCGCCCCCUGGUAUUCCGGGGGGCAUGCCUGUCCGAGCGUCAUUGCUGCCCUCAAGCCCGGCUUGUGUGUUGGGUCGCCGUCCCCCUCUCCGGGGGGACGGGCCCGAAAGGCAGCGGCGGCACCGCGUCCGAUCCUCGAGCGUAUGGGGCUUUGUCACAUGCUCUGUAGGAUUGGCCGGCGCCUGCCGACGUUUUCCAACCAUUCUUUCCAGGUUGACCUCGGAUCAGGUAGGGAUACCCGCUGAACUUAAGCAUAUCAAUAAGCGGAGGAAA